rnacentral:sRNA from 1 species
AUGGCUGUCGUCAGCUCGUGUCGUGAGAUGUUGGGUUAAGUCCCGCAACGAGCGCAACCCUUGUCCUAUGUUGCCAGCGGGUAAUGCCGGGGACUCGUAGGAGACUGCCGGGGUCAACUCGGAGGAAGGUGGGGACGACGUCAAGUCAUCAUGCCCCUUACGUCCAGGGCUGCACACAUGCUACAAUGGCUGGUACAGAGGGCUGCUAUCCCGCGAGGGUGAGCGAAUCCCAAAAAGCCAGUCUCAGUUCGGAUUGGAGUCUGCAACUCGACUCCAUGAAGUCGGAGUCGCUAGUAAUCCCGGAUCAGCAACGCCGGGGUGAAUACGUUCCCGGGCCUUGUACACACCGCCCGUCAAACCACGAAAGUCGGCAACACCCGAAGCCGGUCACCCAACCACUUUGUGGAGGGAGCCGUCGAAGGUGGGGUUGGUGAUUGGGGUUAAGUCGUAACAAGGUAGCCGUACCGGAAGGUGCGGCUGGAUCACCUCCUUUCUAAGGAGUCACGGUCGAUUCUUGAUCGCGAUUAGCGAUGAAGUAAUCGAGCACUCCCAGUCGAUCAUUGACUACUCGUUCUAUUGCGCAGCCUGCGACGGUUGACUCCUGCAAGACAUUUGCGGGAAUCCCCUCAACGGCUCUGUGCGAAACCGACGGACUGUUCCUAUUCCGCUUUCAGGGAGCGGCGCAUUGCUAUUUGCGCGCCCCUUGAGAACUCCAUAGCGAGCACGAGCAUCUAUAAAUCUCCAAGCUACAAAGAGCCAACGGCGGAUGCCUUGGCGCCUGAAGCCGAAGAAGGACGUGGGAGGCUGCGAUAAGCCACGAGGAGCUGCCUACCAAGCUUUGAUCCCUGGAUGGCCGAAUGGGGAAACCCGG